AGUGCGAGAUCCACUGCUGAUUAGGAGAGGAGCGUCAACAGCAGCACCGUGGUUCUUCUGUGGAUUUCUUCUGUUGGAAUCUGGACGACUGGAAUGAUGGAAAUGUGUGGGAUUUGCCAAUCUCCCAAAUCAAGUAUCCAGAGAAUCAGUGAAGAGAACGUUUGAAUUCACACUUACGGUGGUGGGAAAUCCAGGAAAGACAACAUUAAUCAACUCAUGAUUCCUCAUAGAUUUGCAUUCUCCAGAAUAUCCAAGUCUUUCUCAUAGAAUUAUUACUAAAAAGACUGUACAGGAGGAACAAUCCAAAGUUUUAAUCAAGGAAGGUAGUGUUAAGUUGCUGCUCACAAUAGUUGAUACCAAAUAGGAUUUGGAGAUGCAGUAGAUAAUAGUAAUUGCUGGCAGCUCGUCAUCAACUACAUUGAUAGUAAAUCUGUGGACUACCUAAAUGCAGAAUCACAAGUGAACAGAUUUCAGAUGCCUGAUAACAGGGUGCCGGGUUUAUACUUCACUGCUCCUUCAGGACAUGGAAUUAAACCAGAUAAUAACUUUAAAACAGAUAAUGAAAGAAAUCUAAGAACUUAAAAUAUAUAAAUUUCCAGAAACAGGUGAAGAAGACAACAAGCUUGUUAAAAAGAAGAAGGACCAUUUACCUCUUGCUUAGGUAGGUAGUAAUACUAUAUCAUUGAACUUAAUGGCAAAAGGGUUAGGGGAAGGCAGUAUCCUUGGGGUGUUGGUAAAGUUGAAAAUGGUGAACAUUGUUUUUACAAUUCUAAGAAAUAUGUUGAUAACACAUAUGCACGAUUUGAAAGAUGUUACUAAAUGCCCACUAUGAAAGGAGAAAACUGGCAGUUGUGACUUAUAAUGGAGUUGAUAACAAAUAAGGGCUUACUAAGAGCCUUCUGGCACAAAUGGAAGAAGAAAGAAGGGAGCAUGUAGCUAAAAUGAAGAAGACGGAGCUGGAAAUGGAGCAGGUGUUUGAAAUGAAGGUAAAAAAAAAAAGUUCAAAAACUGAAGGACUCUGAAGUUGAGCUCCAAUGGCAGUGCCAUGAGCAAAUGAAAAAGAAGCAUAACACAAAGAAUUAGAGAAGAAACAACAUCAGUUUGAGGAUGAGGAUGCAAACUGGGAAGCUCAACAACAUAUUUCAGAACAAAACUCUUUGAGAACCUUCAAAAAGAAAAAGAAUAAAGAGAUCUUU
rnacentral:lncRNA from 1 species